rnacentral:rRNA from 1 species
AUUGAACGCUGGCGGCAGGCCUAACACAUGCAAGUCGAGCGGGGUUUUCGGACCUAGCGGCGGACGGGUGAGUAAUGCGUAGGAAGCUGCCCGAUAGAGGGGGAUACCAGUUGGAAACGACUGUUAAUGCCGCAUAAUGUCUACGGACCAAAGUGUGGGACCUUCGGGCCACAUGCUAUCGGAUGCGCCUACGUGGGAUUAGCUAGUUGGUGAGGUAAUGGCUCACCAAGGCGACGAUCUCUAGCUGGUUUGAGAGGAUGAUCAGCCACACUGGAACUGAGACACGGUCCAGACUCCUACGGGAGGCAGCAGUGGGGAAUAUUGGACAAUGGGCGCAAGCCUGAUCCAGCCAUGCCGCGUGUGUGAAGAAGGCCUUCGGGUUGUAAAGCACUUUCAGCGAGGAGGAAGGGUUAGUCGUUAAUAGCGGCUAAUUCUGACGUUACUCGCAGAAGAAGCACCGGCUAACUCUGUGCCAGCCGCCGCAGUAAUAC